rnacentral:rRNA from 1 species
GACGAACGCUGGCGGUGUGCUUAACACAUGCAAGUCGAACGGAGUGGAGAACGGGUGAGUAACACGUGGCUGACCUGCCCUGCACUUCGGGAGAAGCCUGGGAACCUGUGUCUAAUACUGGAUAGUGUGGGAUGGGCCCGCGGCCGAUCAGCUUGUUGGUGGGGUAAUGGCCUACCAAGGCGGCGACGGGUAGCCGGCCUGAGCGGGGGGACGGCCACAUUGGGCGUGAGUCACGGCCCAGAGUCCUACGGGAGGCAGCAGUGGGGAAUAUUGCACAAUGGGCGGAAGCGUGAUGCAGCGACGCCGCGUGGGGGAUGACGGCCUUCGGGUUGUAAACUCCUUUCACCAUCGACGCGGUAGAUGGAGAAGAAGCACCGGCUAACUCCGUGCCAGCAGCCGCGGUAAUAC